rnacentral:rRNA from 1 species
AUACGAGGGGUGCAAGCGUUAAUCGGAAUUACAGGGCGUAAAGCGUUCGUAGGCGGUUUGUUAAGCAAGAUGUGAAAGCCCUGGGCUCAACCUGGGAACUGCAUUUUGAACUGGCAAGCUAGAAUACUGUAGAGGGUGGUGGAACUUCCAGUGUAGCGGUGAAAUGCGUAGAGAUUGGAAGGAACAUCAGUGGCGAAGGCGGCCACCUGGACAGAUAUUGACGCUGAGGAACGAAAGCGUGGGGAGCGAACAGGAUUAGAAACCCCAGUAGUCC